rnacentral:lncRNA from 1 species
AUCCAAUAACUCAAUUCAACAUUAAUUUACAGUUCAGGAAGCUUUCAGCUGUGAAUAAUUAAUCAGGUUCUCACAUUACAUAGAUGGAAAUAUAAGAAUAACAAUUAUUGAAACUCAUUUGUUGUUUUGUAUCAAUGGGAUUAAAGUGAAACAUUCAGUUUAUAAAAAAAUCAUUUUUACAAUUAAUCAAAAAUUGCUUGAAUCACUAAGAAUUUACAUAUUAAACUUCAAAGCUAAUUUCAAAAAGAAACUGUACUCUACAGGCCCAAUUUUAAUGACAACCAAAAUAAAACUGUUCUAAAUUCUAAAUGGUCAUCCUACUUUAACACUAUAUUGUCAAACGCUUAUUAAGAUUAUUUAGUUAAUGGACUGAAGACAAUGUAAAAACAUUUUUAAACAGUAAAAAUCUUACAAGAAUACUAAGGAGCCUCUGAAUAAUCUAAAGCAGUGGUUCUCAAAGCAUGAUUCCAGGACAGCAGGAUGAGCAUCACUUAGGAACUUCUUAGAAACAAUUCUUAAUCAUGCAUGUUUUUAUGAUGGGAUUCUAUUUAUGUAGAAUUAUGUGUGCAGAAAGAUAUGCAAAAAUAAAACACUUGUUCUUGCACAACUGAAUAUUUCUGUUCAACCAGAGUCUGAUUAAGAUUCAGGUUUCAUAAUGCCUAAAUUGUGGUCUCUAAAUAUCAUUUCCCACUAAAAGGAAUAAGGGCUAAUUUCAGAGAAAUGGCUGUCUCCAGGUCUGGGACAGAAAAUGUUCAAGAUGAGCCUAGAAUAUUUUGUCAUGGCAGAAAGCAAGAAAGCUCUUAAGGAGUGCUAAGGCCAUGUCAUAAGGAUUCAGGACCAAAGCAGCUUUUAAAGAGGCUUCCACUAGCCCGAGUUGAGACAGUAAGAAAAACAAAUGCAGUGGAUUGAAACAAUACAAAUAUUUUUAAAUUCAUGGGUUCAUAAUGACACUAAAGAAACUCACUCACUAGUUCUCUCAAGAAGAUAUGAGAGAACCAAUUCAUUAUUUGGAAACUGGUAAAUGUAACUCCUCUAGCCCUGCUUAUUCUUUUUUUUUUUUUUUGAGAUUUUGAGUCUUGCUCUAUGGCCCAGACUGGAGUGCAGUGGCGUGAUCUCAGCUCACUUCAACCUCCACCUCCCGGGUUCGAGAGAGAUUCUCCUGCCUCAUCCUCCCGAGUAGCUGGGAUCACCGGCGCCCACAACCACACCCGGCUAAUUUUUGUACUUUUAGUGGAGACAGGGUUUCACCAUGUUGGCUAGGCUGGUCACAAACUCCCGACCUCAGGUUAUCCAUCUGCCUUGGCCUCCCAAAGUGCUGGGAUUACAGGCGUGAGCCCCCGCACCUGGCCAAGAUCAGCUAAUUUAUUUACACUUUUACAAGUUUUUUUAACAUUAAAAUAAACACUACAUUUUAAUUUACCUUUUUACUGAGCCUUUGAUUUUCUUUUUCCAUUUUCAGGAUUUUGGAAGCAUUGCCUUCUACAGAAUCCACAGUAGUCCGAAGCUCUUCUACGGUUUUUGUCAAACUUUGAUUUUCCAUCUCUAGCUUCAAUAAUCUACUUGAUGUCAACUCAUUCACCUCAUGGCCCAGGGAUUUCUGGGGUGCUAUAAUAUUGAAAAAUACACCAUUGUAUUUACUCUUUACUGUUUUUACUAUGUUUACUCUUUACUAUUUAAAAAGUUGAGUGUAUAUGCAUUGCAUCAUCUGAUCCUUAACUUUAUUAAAAAUUCAAUGAGGUUAUAUAAGAUAAACAAGAUAAAAGAAGUAAAUCUUUUUUUUCCUUUUCUUUUUUUCUUUUUUUUAAAGAGACGGGGUCUCUCUCUGUCACCCAGGCUGGAGUGCAGUGAUGUGCUCCUAGCUCACUGCAGCCUCAAACGCCUGGUCUGAAGGGAUCCUCCCACCUCAGUCUCCCAAGCGGCCGGGACUGCAGGUACAGCCAGCUAAUUUUUUUAUUUUUUAGUAAAGACUGGGUCUCUGUUACUUAGGCUGGUCUCGAACUCCUGAGCUCAAGCAAUCCUCCUGCCUUGGCCUCCCAAAGUGCUGGGAUUACAGGCAUGAGCCGCUGCACCCAGCUAAGAGAUACAUGUUUAACUUUUAAUGCAUCCACAGCAUUCUAGUUAAAAAAAGCAUAAAAUUUAGAUUGAAGAAAUUGGAGUUCAAGCAGACCCAUUAAAUAUUUUGCUGAUAUAAGAACAUUAGGAUUUACAAAUGAAAUAUGAGACCUACUAUUUCAAGAAAGGAAAUGAAUAAAGGUACUGGAGAGAAUUUCCGGGUCUGCUUUUGUGUAUGUUUCAAAUUCUUCUUCAUAAAAACCAAAGAAAUACACGCACAUCCAACAUAUCCCCCACCAUGCAAAAAAUCUCUUCAAAAUUAGAUAAGCAAAUAACCUCCAUAUUUAAGUAAAGAAAAUCUCAAUUUUUAUUUCCAGCUUUUCUAGUCAUCAUGUUGUUAAUCUUUUACUGAAAGCUGGUAUACCGAAUAGUUACUAACUUUUAAAAUUCCAUUAGUUGCCUAAGUCUUUUUUUUAAUUAAAAGAUUAUUUAAAUUUAACUAUAAACUUACAGGAUACAUUAUUCUAAGUAG